CUGAGACUUGUGCUGGGACCCAGCGCGGUCGGCCUUGGUCACUGCUCUGCGUGCCCUGGAGAAGCAUGCACCGCUGCUGGGGUGCAGUGUCUGGCACGUGCCAUGGUCCAGCUGGCCCCCGAUGUUCUGUGGGGGCAUUGCUCCCCAGCGUGUCCGGACAGGUUCUUGCUGAGCACCGGAACCCUGAACAUCCAGGGAAUGAGGCGUCAGACACAGUGGGGGAGCUCCAGCCAGCGAGCGCCUGCUCCCGCUCCGGGAAGCGCUCCUGGUCCAUGGCAUCACCGUCCUCAGGCGCAGUCAGGCCUGGGGAUGUUUCCUGCCACCGGAAGUGCCCUGAAGGUGUCCUGGUGGCCGCCGUGUGAAGGGAUGAUGUGACUGUGCACCACAGUCCCCAUUUCAGGAGCACGAUUCACCCCGGGACGCGGUCCUGAGACCGUCCCACUCUUUAGGGGCUGUGGGGGAUGGAGGAGGGGCUCAUGAGAGUCACCCAGACCCACAGUUCACCCUGCAUUUUCCCAGUGGUCCUGGGCAGGCCACACUCUCGGCCUCCAAGAACUCGCACCCCUCCCAUGACAGAGGAGCCUGGGAUCAGGGAGAGGGGAUCGUGUGCUCGGGGGCACCAGCCCCAUGAGAGGACCUGUGUGGGAGGUGUGUGGUCCUGGCACAGGGCCUGGAACUGCCAGGGCAAGGGAGGGGAAGGACACCCAGCACUACUCUGAUGUGCAAACCCUAGAGCUGCCUCGUGGCCACCCCGGGAGGAGAAGGAGGGAGUGUGCAGGGCUGGAAGGGCUGACAGCGCUUUAGACACCGUAACUCCACAUUUGUGUUUUUCAUGCUUGGAGCUUCUGUAGGAAGAUGGAGGUUGGCCAAAGUUUCAGUGACUAAAAGUGUGAAAUUCAUUUAAGUCCAUCAAACUCAAACUUGUGCAGGCACCAGGCAGUCACCCUUGAUGAAGGCAGCUGGCCAGGCAUAAGGGACACAAUCCGCAGAGCCAACGAGACCAGAAAUGAUGCUGGACCACAGAGCGCGUGGACAGUGAGGAGCGGUGAGGCCUGUGCAGAGGGCAGUAGCCAAGCCCAACACAGCUGAGUGCAGCCACGCACAGCCCAGCCACGCCACACCACGCCCAGUCACAUCCAGCCCAACACAGCUGAGUGCAGCCAUGCCCAGUCCAGCCACGCCACACCACACCCAGCCACACCCAGCCCAACAUAGCCAUGACCAACCACACCCAACCCAGCCCAGCCUAGCCACGCCCAGCCCAGCUCAGCCGUGUCCAGCCCAGCCACGCCCAACCCAACACAGCCACGCCCAGCCCUUGGAAGCCACACCCCACUCCCCACACCACACCUGAAUACAGGCCUAGUGUUACCAGAACUUCUAAUUUUCCAACAGAAAUGUGCAAUUGGGGUCAUUAUGUUCAGUUUCCCAGUUUUGAAUAUAGUUUCAACUAUCUUGACCAGCUCUACUGAGGAUUAUUUGACACAAUCAACUGCACAUGUAAAAGUGAUGAUUUGGAAAGCUUCGACCUAUGUGCACACCCACGAAACCCUUCCCAUGGUCCACGGUGAACCUCGUCACCCACAGCAUGUCCUCCUGCCUGUGUCCUCCCACCCCUGUCCCCAGGAACCACCGAUGUCACUACAGACAACUGCAUUUUGCAGAAUUCCAUAUGAACGAAGUCACAUGUAUACACGCCUUCUUUCACGCAGCAUAAUUAUUUUCACGUUUGAUUUUGUCAUGUGUUUCAAAAUUCCACUCCUUUUUAUUUCUGCGUUGUAUGGAUGCACCAUGAUUUGUUCAUCCAAUCACUUGUUGGUAGACAUUUUGGUUUUUCCCCCAGGUUUUUGCUAUCACAAAUAAAACUGCUAUGGACAGUCAUGCAUAAGUCCUUGUGUGAACGCGUUUUCAUCCCUCUGGGAAGAAUUCCUAGGAGUGGAACGGCUGAGUCUCUGGUAGGGGUGUGUCUAGCUUAAGAACCUGCAGGACAGUUUUACAGAGUGGCCGAACCAUCUUCCAUCCCCCCCAGCAGUGUACGGCAAACUUUCAACAGCACUGCACAGCCCUAAGACGCACAUGCCUGUGGGUGCUGCCCAGCCGUGGCUGCCAGCUUGUCUCUGGUCCAGAUCACUUCUUGUUCAACAGAUGGGGAGGCCUAGGGAGACCACAGGCCAUGCCAAAGGUCAUGCAGCAGCUGUCAGCUGAGCAAGGCUGGCAGUGGCCCAGGCUGGUCAUGCCCCCUCCAUGCUGGCAACUGUCUCCACCAAGGCACACUCUGGUGGAAGCUGGAGGCAGGGGACACUACUCUAAGUGGAGUCAUCUGAGAGAUGCACCGACCACACCUCUUCUGUGUUUCUAUCCCCGAGCUCCCAGGGGCCAGGACCACCUGCCCAGGGAGUGCUCAUUGUGCCAAGAAGAACAUGACCCAGCACAGGGUCACUGCAGGUCCCUAAGCAGAAGGGCUGGCCCGGGCAGGACCCCAAAGGCUCGGUAGCAAGGUGCUCCUCCCGAAAGCUGUGAUUCCCGGAGUGAUCCGGGCUCCGGGGUGGGACCUCCUGGUGCAGGGUCCUGAGCUUCGCCUAUGCCAGGCUUUGGAAGCAUCCUCUGAGGGCCCCUUCGGAAGGAGCAUUGGGAUGAAUUAAACAGCAAGGCAGGGCUCGCCUAGUGCAUGCUCUGCUGACAAAUGCGGUCAUUUUUCUCGAUUCUGGGAAAGAAGGGAUACGGACUUGUUUCGUCUUGCCAUGUCUAGAACUCCUCUCGGAGUCUCCAGUUAGUAGGGAGAAGGGAGUGCCGUGGUCUCUGGGUCCUGCUGGCACGUGGAACCCAGUUCUGCAGGGUCUCACACCUGUCCUCUUCUUGUCACCCUCUCUGUCUUUCUCAGCAACUUUUCAGAAGCUUCAGAAGAAGGACGCCGGAGAAUGCCCGCCCGGGACUCCGAGGUGCCCUGUGCUCAUGGAUUGGUCCUCCUGGCUCCAUGAGUGUGAGUGAGUGUCUGCAGGUCCCUGGCACAAAAGCUGCAGUGCUGAGCAGGUGGCUAAUGGCCCUGGCUGGGUGAUUUUGGACAAGUCACCUUUGCCUCUCUGGCCUCCAUUGUCCCUCUGUCAAACAGGCCCCACGACAGCAAGCGUUGGUUAUUGUGUCUAUGGUCAACAUCCCACCUGCCUUUCUGGGCAGAGACGUUUGGGAGCAGUGGCUGUAUCCCUGAGCACGUCGUAAGGGCACUUUCCUGCAUGCCCUGGCUGGAGGGACCUGUUGCUGGGAAAACUCCCCAGAGUGUGAACCGGCGGCGGCUCCACCAUCUGGGUGCCGUGGGCAUGGUGCAUGGCGGGAAGGAGGCCGGCACCACAGAAGGGUGGCAGCUGUCCCCGGAAGGCUCUCCCCUGAGGGCGCCCAGGGCUCCACCGCUAGCCAGCCAUCUCCUUGCAGUAAGGCACGUUUCCUCCAGAUCCUCUCGGAACUGCCGGGAGUGGCUGCCCCACCCGCCCAGCUCUCCCUGGGUCCUGCCAGGCAGGGAAGCGUGAACCGAGACGGGCUCGGGAUGGCUCUCAGGCCCUCCCUGCUCUCAGCACCAAGGGAGGCACCCAGAGACUGAUCUGUGGGGGCAACGGAGACUCCGGGUCCCCCCACCAGGAUACGUCCCCUUUCUUUGCAUCUGAUGCUGACACACACAUACGAGGAGCCCAGAGGCAGAAACGGGACUCAGAGCCUGACGCUGAGGCUGGUGUGUGGGGCUGCCUCUCCCAGUGCUGAGGCUGGCGUGUGGGGGCUUCCUCUCCCGACACUGAGGCUGGCGUGUGGGGCUGCUUCUCCCGACGCUGAGGCUGGCGUGUGGGGCUUCCUCUCCCGACGCUGAGGCUGGCGUGUGGGGCUUCCUCUCCCGACGCUGAGGCUGGUGUGUGGGGCGGCCUCUCCUGGUGCUGAGGCUGGCAUGUGGGGCGGUCUCUCCCGACCUUGAGGCUGGCAUGUGGGGCUUCCUCUCCCGACGCUGAGGCUGGCGUGUGGGGCUUCCUCUCCCAACCUUGAGGCUGGCAUGUGGGGCUUCCUCUCCCGACGCUGAGGCUGGCAUGUGGGGCGCCCUCUCCCGACCUUGAGGCUGGCAUGUGGGGCUUCCUCUCCUGACCUUGAGGCUGGCAUGUGGGGCUUCCUCUCCCGACGCUGAGGCUGGCGUGUGGGGCGGCCUCUCGGGAGCAGGCGGCCUCGGGGAUCCUGGGGGUCAGCAGCCCCUCCACAGCUGCACCUCCCGGGACUGACCCUGCAGAACCCACCUCCCGCCAGCCCCUCCACAGCAGGACAGCACCCGCCUCCUUUUCCAAGGCCGCCUCGCCCAGUGGAGGCUGCAGCUCUACUGGGUGUGAGUCAGGAGGAAACGCUCGCAGCCAACACAGGCAGGACACGCCCACGUGACAUCGGAUCCCACGGGGAGGAGUCCACUGGGCAAAUCUGAACAAUGUGGGGGAAGAUAUUGAUGAGAUGUUAAACAUAACCCAUAGAAGAAGAAUCUACAAGUCCGUACUGACGUAAAUAAAUAAACAGGCAUUGGGGAGAGACAGCUUUUCCUUACCAUAGAAUUCCAACUCAGCCGCAGAAUCCUGGUGGGAACCGUCAUCAAAGUCAACGGGAGCAGACACCACCAAACCCCAGAUCAAAGUCAGCAUCGCCAGCAACGGGCACACGGACACCAGGAAACUCCAUCAGCAUUGCUUUUGCUGUAUUCUUGACAAAAUUGUACAGUUUAAUUUUUUUUCUUUUUUCUUUCCUUUUUUUUUUUAGAGAUGGGGUCUCACUGUGUUGCCCAGGCUAGAGUACAGUGGUGUGAUCACAGCUCACUACAGCCUUCCGUGGCUGGGACUACAGGCACACACCACCACAUCUGGCUUGUUUUUUUGUUGUUGUUCUUGUUUUACUGUUUACUUUGUAGAGAUGGGGUGUAGCUAUAUUACCCAGUCUUGACUUCUGGCCUCAAGUGAUCCUCCCACCUUGGCCUCCCAAAGUGUUGGGAUUACAGAUGUGAGCCACUGUGCCCAGCUGUAUAAGUGGAAUUUAAUUAUGAGGAAAUCUACAGUGAAUCCAAAUUAAGGGAUAGUCCACAAAAUAACUGACAAUAUUCUUUAGAAGUGUCAAUGUCAUGAAAAAACAAAGACUGAGGAUUCGUCCCAGAUUGAGAGACUAAGGGGCCACGAGGACUAAACACAACAUGGGACCCUGGACUAGGAAAGGGUGAAACGGGGUUUCACCAUGUCGACCAGCCUGAUCUCAAACUCCCGACCUCAGCUGAUCCACCCACCUCGGUCUCCCAAAGUGCUGUGAUGAGUGCCCGUGAGCCACCGCGCCCAGCCUCAAAGCUAACUUUUGGGGACGUUGGAUGAAGAGUCCACAGGAACUUUUCUACUGUUUUUGCAACUUGUUAAAACCCUGUAAUUACUUCAAAAUGAAAAGUUAAAAAAUGAUCUUUUAAAAAAGAGUUAAUACUUGCAGUAUAUAAAGGACUCUUGAAAAUCAAUGAGAAGAUGAAUGUCCUGUGGAGAGCACAUGGGCCGCGAUGCUCCGGGAAAGAAUGGCACAGAGCACAAGAGAAACAGCUCACGGGCACCACUGAUUAGAGAAAUGCCAAGGCACUCAAUGACGGCCAAUGAUGGCGUUUGAAAACAUUAGACUGCAAACUAGUGUUUACACCGUAAGGGUGCUCUCGUGUUGCUGGGGAGAGGGGGACGAGCAUAGCUCGCCUGCAGAGCAGUUUGGCAACUUAUCAAAAGUCCAAGCUGUGACCUUUCUCUUUUUGACCCCUACGCUGGAUGUCUCCACCCCAAAGCCCCCUCCCAGUUUGUACCUGGAUACUGAACUGUAGGGACCCCCAGG
rnacentral:lncRNA from 1 species